rnacentral:tRNA from 1 species
UCCUGGUUAGCUCCGUUGGUAGAGCGCUCCACUGGAAAUGGAGAGGUCCCUAAUUCGAUACCGAGACCAGACG